AUCUGUGAUGCUAUAGCACUCCACACCUUCCCAGUGGCUGCAAUUACACACAUCAAGUUUCAGAAUGGAUGACAAGUUCUAAGAAGCCUGGGAGAGCUGAGUGGGAGACAUGGGCUGAGUUGCUGGCAUCGGGCAAGGGCACACAAAGGUACCAGCUGAAAGUUUUUCUCGGAAAUACCUGGUUUUGGAGACAACUUGUAGAAUGUUAACCGAGAGUACCAGUGGGGAGAAAUGGCGGUGGCUCUGAAGGAGUAUCUACGUGGGAACUACAGUCCAUCUGCAGCACAAUUCACACAAACAUCAGAGGUCACUGUGACAUACAGCAGGCAGUCGGCAGUCUCGAGAGAAGGGGAGAAUUCGCCUGGAAUCUGGCCUCACUCUGCAGUGGAAGAAAAACAUCACCAUUCACCCAUUCAGAGGUAAAAAACUGGCUGAGGGAUGUUCUGAACACUCUCACACUUUGCUACUUCCAUAAUUUACCUCCAGUUCCACUUCCCCGAUUAACAAAAAUGUCCAUCUUUUUUUUUCAUAAUUUUCCUAAGGCUUGCAGGCUUUUAAAAUGGACAUAUUUUCACUGGGAUGGGUAUGUCUAAUGUCUCUGGCUUGGGUUCCCUUUGAAUUCUGUUUUUGACCCAAACUGUAUGGUUUCUAAAAAAGCAUUACCUCUACCAUAGUUCACAUUCCACAAUCCCUCAAAUAACUCCUUGAAAAUCAGAGUGUGGUGAGGUAUCUCAGCAUCGUGCUCCCACUUCUGAACUCUUGCCUCCGUUUCUGUGAUUCAUUUAUAUUUUCAGACCCUAAAGACUGAUUUAGUUAAUUUUCAUAUCUCACUAAUUCAUGACUUGGCUUUCUUGUUUUACUAAUUAGUCUUUGUAUUAAUCUCAGAGAUUCAAGCUGGC
rnacentral:lncRNA from 1 species